CGUAGUAGGUCAUCCGUGUCUGUAUCAUCAGAGAUCUCUUCGGCGUCUUCGCCACCUUGAAGUCGUAGCGGGACGAGAGCGCGGUUUAACACGAAGGUGUUCAACUUCAUCAUGAGAUUCUAAGGAAGAUAAAUAAGGGGCUCAUCGCGGCAUUUUGGCUGAUCGUCACUGGACAAGAAAAGUCUGGGGGCUAUGGAACCCAGGCAAAAGCUUUUAGGGACCAGUAGUCCCAAAAGUGUUAGUGGGAGGGAAGGCAUGGUGGUUUCAACGAAGUAUCUGAACAAAGCCAUCGCACACAAAUAAUGAAAAAACACUUGUUGAACAACAACACGUACAACAUGAA